rnacentral:rRNA from 1 species
GACGGACGCUGGCGGCGUGCUUAACACAUGCAAGUCGAACGGAAAGGCCCUGCUUUUGUGGGGUGCUCGAGUGGCGAACGGGUGAGUAACACGUGAGUAACCUGCCCUUGACUUUGGGAUAACUUCAGGAAACUGGGGCUAAUACCGGAUAGGAGCUCCUGCUGCAUGGUGGGGGUUGGAAAGUUUCGGCGGUUGGGGAUGGACUCGCGGCUUAUCAGCUUGUUGGUGGGGUAGUGGCUCACCAAGGCUUUGACGGGUAGCCGGCCUGAGAGGGUGACCGGCCACAUUGGGACUGAGAUACGGCCCAGACUCCUACGGGAGGCAGCAGUGGGGAAUAUUGCACAAUGGGCGGAAGCCUGAUGCAGCAACGCCGCGUGCGGGAUGACGGCCUUCGGGUUGUAAACCGCUUUCGCCUGUGACGAAGCGUGAGUGACGGUAAUGGGUAAAGAAGCACCGGCUAACUACGUG